rnacentral:sRNA from 1 species
CCUACAGAGAGCCCUGACGUUGGUGGGU